UAUAACUUAUACCGACAAAUUAUAAAAUAAUAAUGUUAUUUACAUUCUCAAACAGUCAAAUAAUUAUGACACAUUGGAUUGAAACCUGACAAUCCAAUAUAUAAUAUUAUUAAUAGUGUUUUUACGUAAUAUAAUUUGCGUUGAAAAAAACCAAAUCUACUCAAAAAUAGAAAACAAUAUUGGUAUGUCAAAAAAAAAUUAUAUUAAUAAGAGUAGAAUUCGACAAGCUAAACCAAAGCUAGCUAACAGUAGCUAACCAAUAGCGUAAUUCGAGUUAUUAGCGA